AGCGAACGCUGGCGGCAUGCCUAACACAUGCAAGUCGAACGAACUCUUCGGAGUUAGUGGCGGACGGGUGCGUAACACGUGGGAACGUGCCUUUUGGUUCGGAAUAACUCAGGGAAACUUGUGCUAAUACCGAAUGUGCCCUUCGGGGGAAAGAUUUAUCGCCAUUAGAGCGGCCCGCGUCUGAUUAGCUAGUUGGUGAGGUAACGGCUCACCAAGGCGACGAUCAGUAGCUGGUCUGAGAGGAUGACCAGCCACACUGGGACUGAGACACGGCCCAGACUCCUACGGGAGGCAGCAGUGGGGAAUAUUGCGCAAUGGGCGAAAGCCUGACGCAGCCAUGCCGCGUGAAUGAUGAAGGUCUUAGGAUUGUAAAGUUCUUUCACCGGGGACGAUAAUGACGGUACCCGGAGAAGAAGCCCCGGCUAACUUCGUG
rnacentral:rRNA from 1 species